UAUUUGAAUUCAAAACCACUUUUUGUGUGAACAGUUGUCUCUCUUCCCCCCGAAACUGAUUUUUUUUGAACGUGCUUUUCAAAACACACAAACUCUUUUCUCUCUCAUCUGAACCCUCCUCUGUCUUCACAUUCUUCAUUCUUCCUUUUUUUCAAACUUCUCUCUCCUCUUCUUUCUUUAUGUUCUUCUUCUACUAUUUUGAUUUUUUCUGCUAACAUAGUUUACGAAAAUACUUUAUGAUGUGUGGUGUAUGUUUAACGACGGAAGUAGAUCUGUGGUGAAGACAACACAUUUCUGGUGGCGAGGGUAAUGGUGGACCUGUUUGCGGAACGUUAUUUCGAUUUCAAGAUAAAAAAUGAAGAUUUGUUUUUGGAUUGUUGAUUUGAUUUUAAGCAAAGAAGAUGGAGAUUUGUUUGUGGGUUGUGGUUUUGUUUCAAUCAAAGAGUUUAUGGCGGCAGAUUUGAAUUUUUUGGCGAUUUCACAGCGGUGUGCGAUUUUGCGGUGGUAGAUUUGUCGUAAAGCUCCAAACUAUCUGCUUAUAUUUUGUUCAUAUUAAUUGGUAUGUUUUAUGUGCAAAUUUUAGGGUUUCUUCUCCAUAAAUAUAUGCUGAUUUUAGGAUUUCAAUGUGAGAAAAAUGAAGCAACAACAUUGGAAGUAGCUCCAAAGCAUGUGCUGGCCAGCCAUAGUUGCCGGGGAAAACUGUUGCUGUCAGAAUAGAGUCAAGCUUCAUCAGACGCGCGAAUUCGUUGGAAUGGCUGUUGAAACCUGUCACGGAAGUUUGAAUUCUCGACCGCUCUCUGUUGCAAGUUUAAAUUGGUGAGAAAUUAAUAUUUAUUUGUAGAUAAAUGAUUCUCGACCGCUCUCUGUUGCAAGUUUGAAUUCUUAGGCGGACAAAUCAAUCGAGGAACAACACUUCACAAAUCGGAAAUUCAUAGAAGCAGAGGUGCUCUUCAUGCAGAUAUACACUUUAUGAAGGGAUUAAUAGACAUCUGGACUCAAUUUUCAAUGACAUGGUUGGAUUUAAAAAAUGUUUAUACCAACAAUGAUGGUUGUGAUUUAAAAAAGGGCUUGUUUGGAUUCAGCUUCUCCGAUGAUGUUGUAUAUUGAUUUUGCGCCGCUUGGAAGUGUAAAUAGAAAGCCUUGUGUAGAUUCUGCACUGAUACAUCGCGCCUUACCAGAUGAGCUGCUCUUUGAGGUAUUGUAUUUGACAAGAUGUAGCUAUACCAAUUGGUCAUGAUUUUUUGACAUUGUGUGAUAUAAUGCGGUGAGAGUAGUUGCUUUAUUUGUGCGGUAUGGUUCUACUUCAGACCACUCAUAUGCAAUAAAGUUUUCUUCUUGCUACAUUUAACUAUGUAUAAAUCGAUUGCUACACUGUAAUCAACUCAGUUGAGACACACUGUUGCAUUUAAUAGCAUUCAUAUCGAAAAACUACUUUUGAAAGGUUUGGUAUGUUCUGGUUUUGGGAUCGAAUUUGUGUAAUUCUUUGUAAUUUUGAUCAGUUUUUUCUUUCUCGUCUUACCACUAGAACAGGAGAUGAAGCAAAAAUGUGAUGAAAAAGGAUUUGAUAGGUUCGGUUGGGUCUGAUUUUUUUAAAUGUGACACAUGUCUUACCAUAAAAAAGGAUCAGAAAGCCAAGAAGUUAAAAGUUGUUUACGAGAAACUCUCUUACGAAGGAUUCAUUGAUUAUCACAUUGAACUUGCUCUCUCCGCGCUCAAGGUACCAAGAACUUACUUAACUACCCCAUGCCUUUCUUAAAUUUGUCAGAAUCUACUACAUUUGAGAUUCAAAUUUUCAAUCACCUAGGAUUUUACUACAUUUGAGUCAGCUCUUGAUUGGUUAUUCCUCAAUUUGCCCAGAAAUGAACUUCCAUUCAAGUUUUCCACUGGGACUUCAUCUCAUUAUAAUCAAGGUUCGUGGAUAUUGAUUGAUUGUGUGUUUAUAAUGCCUCAUACUUAUUGUAGUUCAUAACAAGCUUGAAUUUUGGAGAAUGAUUGGGUGUUUAUAAUGCCUCUGCAGGGGGUUUUGUUGGUGUCAUAAUAAUACACUGUCAAACCUUAGAUGGUUUACAUGCUAAUUUCACCUAUGUUUAUCUUCAAGGGUGUGUUAAAAUAUGUUAUAAAGUCAAAAUGCUCAAAACUUAGCUUGACCCUUGACCUCUAUUAUUUUCUCUCACCUUCAACCCAACU